rnacentral:rRNA from 1 species
UACGGGGGGGGCAAGCGUUGUUCGGAAUUACUGGGCGUAAAGGGCUCGUAGGCGGCCACCGCAAGUCAGUUGUGAAAUCUCCGGGCUUAACCCGGAAAGGUCAACUGAUACUGCGGGGCUAGAGUGCAGAAGGGGCAACUGGAAUUCUCGGUGUAGCGGUGAAAUGCGUAGAUAUCGAGAGGAACACCUGCGGCGAAGGCGGGUUGCUGGGCUGACACUGACGCUGAACUGCGAAAGCUAGGGGAGCGAACGGG